UGAAGGGGGGAAUCGGAGGGCUGAUGAUGUGGAGGAGGCCGAGUCGCUGGGCGCUUUCGGGGCGCUGUGCCCGGAGGCUCAGGCCAGGGGACCGGGAACCUUGGUUAGAGGCGGCCGCGGAGGCUGCAGGAGCCCACACAGGUCCUGCUUUCUUGGCGAGUCCUGCUGCCCGCGACUGAAGGCAAUUGACUUCCAUCCGCAAUCUCAGCUCCAAACGCCUUGCUUUAGAAGCUGGGGGAGCCGUCCCUGGGGGAGCGGGUGGCAGGCUGUGAGGCUCCCGCGCCCCCUCUGAUUCCUGCACAGUGCCCAAGGGAGAGUGUGCUAGAAAUGGCUUGGCUGCCGAAUGCAUUAUCUUGCCAUUUUCGUAUCCCGAUACCGCACAAACGAUCGCCUGAUCGAUCGGAACUAGGAGGGAAAGGUAGAGUGGAAAUUGAUUUCUGGCAGAGACUGAGGCGCCGAAUGAUAGAGGGAAUAAACAUUUGCCCUGGAUAAAAAUGUUCUUGGCUGUAUUCCAGCCCUAACGAUGUCCUAGAGCAGAAGUUUUUCUUCAGUCGUCUCAUUUUACCAAAAGGAUGAUCUCUGUGUAUGUCUCUGUGUUUUACAGAGGCUGACAAGCCUGUUAUGGGAAUCUUAGCUCCAUCCAUCCAUAAGGAGGAUGAAUAUCCUGAAUUACAGUCAUCACAAAUACAAUCUUAGCAGUUGUAAUAUAUAGAGAACAUACUUUUCAUGUAAGAUCUCAAUAUGCUGCCUAAACCUACUUACCUAAACUACUGUUCAAAGAAAUACAGUUUUUUGCUGAGGACAAAACUUGACAAAUUAAAAGAUGUAAGAUUAAAAUUUUUGUUUUUUAUUUAAUUAAUUUUUUUAAUGUGGAAGACUCCCCCUGAGGUAACAUCUGUUGCCA